CCUACGGGGGGCUGCAGUGGGGAAUGUUGCACAAUGGGCGCAAGCCUGAUGCAGCCAUGCCGCGUGUGUGAAGAAGGCCUUCGGGUUGUACAGCACUUUCAGCGGGGAGGAAGGCGUUAAGGUUAAUAACCUUGUCGAUUGACGUUACCCGCCGAAGAAGCACCGGCUAACUCCGUGCCAGCAGCCGCGGUAAUACGGAGGGUGCAAGCGUUAAUCGGAAUUACUGGGCGUAAAGCGCACGCAGGCGGUCUGUCAAGUCGGAUGUGAAAUCCCCGGGCUCAACCUGGGAACUGCAUUCGAAACUGGCAGGCUAGAGUCUUGUAGAGGGGGGUAGAAUUCCAGGUGUAGCGGUGAAAUGCGUAGAGAUCUGGAGGAAUACCGGUGGCGAAGGCGGCCCCCUGGACAAAGACUGACGCUCAGGUGCGAAAGCGUGGGGAGCAAACAGGAUUAGAUACCCCGGUAGUC
rnacentral:rRNA from 1 species